UUUGUUUGUUUCUCCCCCUUAUGUAUGUUUGUUCGUUUGUUUCAAAAUUAAUUGAGGAGGGGAAAUGGAAUGGAGUUUCCUGUAAAAGGACAUGGUUAGCUUCUCUCAAACUCCUGAACAGGAACCUCAUGCUGCAACAUGUUCUUGCAGGUCCCGCUUAAGAACACUUUCUUUUGAGUAAGCCCUGUUGGACUCCGUGGGGCUUCCUUCCCACUGCAUAGGAUCAGGAUGCAGAAAGUGUUCUGGAAGAACCUCAAAGAGAAAGUAUUGUGACUCAUACUAUAAAUGCAAAAGGCGCUGCCUUCAACAAGAGGCUACUAGUCUUCCGAUAAUGAAUGUCUUCCAGAAAUCAAGAGGCAAAACUGUGUUCCAUUGUUUGGUUAACAUUAACAGACUACAGCUCUGGGUUCCUCUUAAAAAUUACCUCACUAUUUAUUCUGGGUCUGGUCUACAAAUAAAACAGUUUCUAUAUAUAAAGCAGGAGUUGUUCUUAGCUUACGUUUCCAGGCGUCAUUUUCAUAGAUACAGGCAAAGUCUCAUAUUACCAGCGCAGAGAAGUCACGCCUGCUGGUGUGUAAGAACUGUUGUUGAUUUAAGGCAGCUUCCCCAGUGACAUUUCUCAAGAGCAAAUCCUGUG